AUUGAACGCUGGCGGCAGGCUUAACACAUGCAAGUCGAGCGGAGAUGAGGUGCUUGCACCUUAUCUUAGCGGCGGACGGGUGAGUAAUGCUUAGGAAUCUGCCUAUUAGUGGGGGACAACAUUCCGAAAGGAAUGCUAAUACCGCAUACGCCCUACGGGGGAAAGCAGGGGAUCUUCGGACCUUGCGCUAAUAGAUGAGCCUAAGUCGGAUUAGCUAGUUGGUGGGGUAAAGGCCUACCAAGGCGAUGAUCUGUAGCGGGUCUGAGAGGAUGAUCCGCCACACUGGGACGGAGACACGGCCCAGACUCCUACGGGUGGAAGCAGUGGGGAAUAUUGGACAAUGGGCGGAAGCCUGAUCCAGCCAUGCCGCGUGUGUGAAGAAGGCCUUUUGGUUGUAAAGCACUUUAAGCGAGGAGGAGGCUACCUGGAUUAAUACUCUAGGAUAGUGGACGUUACUCGCAGAAUAAGCACCGGCUAACUCUGUGCCAGCAGCCGCGGUAACAC
rnacentral:rRNA from 1 species